rnacentral:rRNA from 1 species
UACGUAGGGGGCUAGCGUUGUCCGGAUUUAUUGGGCGUAAAGAGCGUGUAGGCGGCCUGGUAGGUCUGCUGUGAAAACUCGAGGCUCAACCUCGAGAUGUCGGCGGAAACCAUCUGGCUAGAGUCCGGAAGAGGAGAGUGGAAUUCCUGGUGUAGCGGUGAAAUGCGCAGAUAUCAGGAAGAACACCUAUGGCGAAGGCAGCUCUCUGGGCAUGAUCUGACGCUGAGGAGCGAAAGUGUGGGGAGCGAAUAGG